AGCAGCAACAACAACAGACCGGAAAAAACGCUCUGAGGCACGGCUCCACUUUACUAAGAAAAAUGACGAGGAGACGGCUAUUUGCAAUUAUUGCCAGGCUUGGCUUUCCUGUAAGGGUGUACAACAAACAAGUUGAAACAUGUUCAGGCCGUACAAAACCUGAAGGUUAGAGAAACGUGUUUUGUCUUCGACGCGUGGAGAAGCAGCGACAGAGAUGACGAAGCACGCCCCUCUUCCUCUGCUUCAACCUGCAGUCCCGCCGAUAGUGCCGCCAUACUGUCCCUUGGGGGCCGCAUUUGACUGCGGGAUUCGUUCUCUCUGGAUACAGACGGACCACUCUGGACGAAGUGUGCAGGACAAAACUUCUUGUCUGAGCGGUGGCCUCAGCUACAUGAUGUCAUCAUAGUUUUGGCUCACUGGCAGCCAAGGACUUCGGAGACUUCGGCAUGGAUGGGAUGACAGCACGCAGACGAGACAGAGACUUCAAGGAUCUCAACGAAGAUAAGAUGACAACACGCGGACGAACUCGGCGACAAGGCAAAAUCACAUUCCGUCACGUACUAUGCGUCUUGGUCCUGCUUUGCAUAAUAUAUGUGACCACUCCUUUUAGAGGCAGCUUCAGUGAUGUUGACUAUGGAACUCUGAAUAAAAAGGAGAACGCAGCAACUGGACCUUAGAGCGUAGGGCGAGACUGUGACUAAGUGUGCAGUGCCCGCGUUCUCCUCAUGAGCCCUAUUUAA